rnacentral:lncRNA from 1 species
CUGGCCCUAAAGGUAGAAGACGUUCCGUAAAAGUUCGAGUAGUGUUUAUAUGUAAAAACUUGUAUUAUAUUUAUCAUAAACGUGAAAUAUUUUUUAAAAAAUUUUUAAAAUUUUUUUAUUUAUUUAAUUUUUUACAAAGGUAGGAAAAUUACUCAGAGGAGACAGGUGCAACACCUUAGCUACACAGAAAGGAACUAGGACAGCCUUUGAUGUUAGCUAGCAACAGCUAUGGCUGCUGUGAAGCCUGCAGUGUUGUUUGCAACACGGUAGUCCAAGAAACAAGUGACUUAUCAAGUCGGCAGCAUGACAUGAUUCCUGUUCCAUCAUUUCCCUCUGAUUCCUCUCAGAUAUUCAGACGUGGAGCAUGGGGCAGAAGAGCGGGACACCACAUCCUACCGAAGUCAGCGCCAGAAGUCAAAGGACACUAGGCAUACAGUACAAUAUAUUGCUUAACCCUGUAAAAACUGAAAGUAGUCCUGAUGAUGCUCGAUUGGUUUGUGAAAUCUUUCUUUUAUGAUAAAGUUUAUAGUUAGGGCUGGAUCAGGUGACCCUGAAUCCUCCUUUUUUUAUGCUAAAAUAGACCUCGGCUGCUGAGGGUUUCCCAUGAUGCACUGAGUGUUUCUUCUUCUUCUUUUCUUACCCAUUUUCAAUCACUGUGUGCUUAAACAUCACUCUGCAUUCAGUCACCAGCUAUUAUUAAUCUCUGGCUCUCAUCCACAGUGUUUCUUCGUCCCAUCUUCCUCCCCUCACCACCAACCUGUCGAGGCAGAUGGUCGCCCCUUCCCUGAGCCUGGUUCUGCUGGAGGUUUCUAUCUGUUAAAAAGACCUUUUUCCUUUCCAUUAUCGCCAAAGUGCUUGCUCAUAGCAGGUCACCUGAUUGUCGGGGUUUUUGCUCUAUAAUUGUAAAGUCUUUACCUCACAAUAUAAGUGCCCUGAGGCUCUGUUGUUGUGAUUUGGCCUAUAUAAAUAAAACCGAACCAAAUUGAAUAGAAUUAUUAUUGUUUGAUUUACAAUCCAUUGAGGAGAUGUACAGAGGCAAAAUAACUGUAUCUCCUAAUUAGUGCUCAGUAACAUAUAAAUGAAAUCUGUGCAUUUUACUCAACAAAGCUGGAGCUCAAACUGGCCCACCAUAAGUCAUUACUGUAAUCACAUUACAUUCUAAUGCAUUAAUGUUCUAAAUUCUGUUCUAAGGUAAUCCCAUUACUGUAGUCAAACUUUAAUGUGAUUGCAUAAGUUCUUAAAGGCGUGUAGCCAUUUGUAGCUAGAAUCUGAUUUUUAGUUUGUUUCUUUUUUGGUAACAUUUUGUGUUAAUAUUUAAACACUAUAAGUUAGAUCCGGUUUGUGUCCUCAUUAGAGUGAUUCGUGUGUUGGACCGUAACCUAAGAUUUAUAUUGUCAACUGGUGAUUAUACGAGGCCAUGUUACAGUGCAAUGCAAAAGUAAUGUGACAAGUAGUGUAACAAAUUACUCUCCUUGGGUGCAAACAAUGUAUGUAGUGCAUUACUUGUUAAAAAAUAAAC